rnacentral:rRNA from 1 species
UACGGAGGAUCCAAGCGUUAUCCGGAUUCAUUGGGUUUAAAGGGUGCGUAGGCGGAAUGAUAAGUCAGUGGUGAAAUCCCUUCGCUUAACGAAGGAACUGCCAUUGAUACUGUCAAUCUUGAGUACAUUUGAUGUGGGCGGAAUGUGUCAUGUAGCGGUGAAAUGCUUAGAUAUCGUCAGGAACGCCAAUGGUGAAGACAGGUGACUGGGCUAGAUCUGACACUGAGGCACGAAAGCGUGGGGAGCGAACGGG